AGAGUUUGAUCCUGGCUCAGCCUGAACGCUGGCGGCGUGGCUAAGACAUGCAAGUCGCACGGAGGUAGCAAUACCUUAGUGGCGAACGGGUGAGUAAUGUAUCGCUAACGUACCCUUCAGUCCGGGAUAGCCAGGGGAAACUCUGGGUAAUACCGGGAGACAUCAUCUUCUCGCAUGGGGAGAUGCUCAAAGGAGCAAUC
rnacentral:rRNA from 1 species